rnacentral:lncRNA from 1 species
GGGACAUAAUUUGAUGAGGAUAUAAUUUCACUUAUUAACAUUUUUGUGAUUAGAUUAAAGCUAUUUUCAUGUUUCUACUGUUGUGCAUAAAUAAAAGUACUUAAAAGAAGGCAGUGAUCUUGGAAGGAUUGUAUAGUAUUAUGUUUAAUUUUUAAGUAUUAAAUAUUCUUAUCCAGGCUUUUUUUUUUUUUUUUAACCAGAAAAAGUGUUGGUGAAAAAUACAUCCUUUGGUGGGCCAGGGUCUCCAUCCAAAGUCUUGAUGUCAAGUCCUUCCACAGGCUUCAGUUCACCGAGGACCGGUAGUGCGUCAUUGGAAGGACUGAUGCUGAAGCUGAAACUCCAAUACUUUGGCCACCUCCUGUGAAGAAUUGACUCAUUUGAAAAGACCCUGAUGUUGGGAAAGAUUGAAGGCAGGAGGAGA